rnacentral:rRNA from 1 species
UACGGAGGGCGCAAGCGUUGUUCGGAUUUACUGGGCGUAAAGCGCGUGUAGGCGGGUCAGUAAGUUGGGGGUGAAAUCCCGGAGCUCAACUCCGGAACUGCCUUCAAAACUGGCGACCUGGACUCAAGCAGAGGCAAGUGGAAUUGCGAGUGUAGAGGUGAAAUUCGUAGAUAUUCGCAGGAACACCAGUGGCGAAGGCGACUUGCUGGGCUUGUAGUGACGCUGAGACGCGAAAGCGUGGGGAGCAAACAGG